AAAUGAAUUGACGGGGGCCCGCACAAGCGGUGGAGCAUGUGGUUUAAUUCGAUGCAACGCGAAGAACCUUACCUGGUCUUGACAUCCACAGAACUUUCCAGAGAUGGAUUGGUGCCUUCGGGAACUGUGAGACAGGUGCUGCAUGGCUGUCGUCAGCUCGUGUUGUGAAAAUGUUGGGUUAAGUCCCGCAACGAGCGCAACCCUUAUCCUUUGUUGCCAGCGGUUAGGCCGGGAACUCAAAGGAGACUGCCAGUGAUAAACUGGAGGAAGGUGGGGAUGACGUCAAGUCAUCAUGGCCCUUACGACCAGGGCUACACACGUGCUACAAUGGCAUAUACAAAGAGAAGCGACCUCGCGAGAGCAAGCGGACC
rnacentral:rRNA from 1 species